rnacentral:rRNA from 1 species
UACGGAGGGUGCAAGCGUUAUCCGGAUUCACUGGGUUUAAAGGGUGCGUAGGUGGGCAGGUAAGUCAGUGGUGAAAUCUCCGGGCUUAACCCGGAAACUGCCAUUGAUACUAUCUGUCUUGAAUACCCUGGAGGUGAGCGGAAUAUGUCAUGUAGCGGUGAAAUGCUUAGAUAUGACAUAGAACACCCAUUGCGAAGGCAGCUCACUACGGGAAUAUUGACACUGAGGCACGAAAGCGUGGGGAUCAAAC